CCUACGGGGGGCAGCAGUGGGGGAUAUUGCACAAUGGGGGAAACCCUGAUGCAGCGACGCCGCGUGAGUGAAGAAGUAUUUCGGUAUGUAAAGCUCUAUCAGCAGGGAAGAAAAUGACAGUACCUGACCAAGAAGCCCCGGCUAACUACGUGCCAGCAGCCGCGGUAAUACGUAGGGGGCAAGCGUUAUCCGGAUUUACUGGGUGUAAAGGGAGCGUAGACGGUUAUGUAAGUCUGGAGUGAAAGCCCGGGGCCCAACCCCGGGACUGCUUUGGAAACUGUGUAACUGGAGUGCAGGAGGGGCAGGCGGAAUGCCAGGUGUAGCGGUGAAAUGCGUAGAUAUCAGGAAGAACACCGGCGGCGAAGGCGGCCUGCUGGACUGAAACUGACGUUGAGGCUCGAAAGCGUGGGGAGCAAACAGGAUUAGAUACCCUGGUAGUC
rnacentral:rRNA from 1 species